rnacentral:lncRNA from 1 species
AAGUCCUGCAGGGGAUCCAUCUGUGCAUGGAAUAGCAAGAUGAUCUGCCUGGGCAUGCUGCCAUCCUGUGCAGAGACACGUGGGGACGGUAGAUCCAGAGGGCUCCAAUGCUCCUUGUUUUCCUGCAAUUAUGACUGGACCAUAAGAAUACUUUAUCGACGGGGGGGGGGGAGUCCUUGAUGCAAAUCAGUCAAAUCUGAGGUGCCUGAUGUCUGCAGGAACCUGGGGAAAUAGCUAUCCAGCACCUAGAGACCCUGAGUGGGAAAUGAGAGCCCAAGAUGCUAGGGGAAGUCAGGCUUGGGUACCAGUUUCCCAAAGGAAGAGAGACUCAGGCAUCCUCAUUCAGCUUACCAUUAGGUCCAAAGUGAGCAUUUGGAUUUUGGGAGGUUGAGGAAGAGUAGUGCUGGGAACCCAGAGCAUUAUACGUGCAAACACAUACUCCGUUAUGAGCUAUAUUCUUAGGUUCAAAAUAUUCUUGUUCACAACUCCACAUCAUCUCUGGAAAUCACCUUAAACUGCUUCUCGGGGGGGGGGGGAAGUGGUCUAUAAAUAAUUAAUUAAAGCUCAAAUAAUAGCAAUGUGAAACUAGAAAUAUUUUCUCCCCCAACCCUCAACUUACAUGACUAAAAGAAUAUUAUCUUCAGAAUAGGCUCAGCUGACAAAUGACACAGCAAUACUCCACAAUUCAAAACAAAACCCUCAA